AAAACACAGGCCCAUGAUUUUAUCACACACACAAAAGACCAAAAAACAAUGAAACUUCCUCACCUGGAUUACAUAAAAAGAGGGAUACCCAGCACUGGGGUAUAGUGAUGUCACACUCAGCAGAUCACCUGGCGAGUGCAUUACAAGGUUGAUAGACUAUUAGCUUCAGUUUUCUGUCCCCCAUCUUCAGCUCAUCUUGAUCUUCCCACUUCACAUGGCUCACUCAACUGUCUACUUUCCAGACUCAGGCUUUCACAAGUUCUGCACUCUUAACAAGCCCUGAACCUUCUUGGAGAAGCUCUGCCUGGUUUGUAAUCUUAUCCAGCCACCUGUGCCUCAUUGCAAAGAGGAUUGGAAGUGAUUUAUGCCAAAGAAAAGUUACAGAAUCAGUGAUUUAUGGAUUAAUACAGUUCAAGUCUGCAAGCCUUAGGGGAAGAAAGGAUGAGCUGCUUUUAACAGGUAAGGCUCUUUCUCUUGCUGAGGCUUCCUGGCUUUCUCUUUCUUCUCUUCUACUAAAGUAGUGAAUGCAAAUGCAAAUGCAAAGCAACUGUCAAGAGGACCACUGGCAUUCUCUCUGUGGUCAUGGUAAGAAGCAGG
rnacentral:lncRNA from 1 species